rfam:Cladophialophora immunda strain CBS 83496 unplaced genomic scaffold supercont1.4, whole genome shotgun sequence.
GUCAGUGUGGCCGAGUGGUUAAGGCGUGUGACUUGAAUUUUCCACAAAAAAAAACAACUCUCGCAGUGGUUUUUCCUAGCAAAAUUUCAAUGCCAUCACAUCUCUUCGGAGGCACAGGUUCGAACCCUGUCGCUGACG